rnacentral:tRNA from 1 species
CGGAUGUAGCCAAGUGGAUCAAGGCNGU